rnacentral:rRNA from 1 species
CAGAGGGUGCGAGCGUUGUCCGGAAUCACUGGGCGUAAAGGGCGCGUAGGUGGCGACCCAAGUCAAUGGUGAAAGCUCGAUGCUCAACAUCGAGUCGGCCACUGAUACUGGGUUGCUCGAGCACUGUAGAGGCAGAUGGAAUUCCGGGUGUAGCGGUGGAAUGCGUAGGGAUCCGGAAGAACACCGGUGGCGAAGGCGGUCUGCUGGGCAGUAGCUGACACUGAGGCGCGACAGCGUGGGGAGCAAACAGGAUUAGAUACCCUGGUAGUCCACGCCGUAAACGAUGGGCACUAGAUGCUUGGGGGAGCGACCCCCUGAGUGUCGUCGCUAACGCAGUAAGUGCCCCGCCUGGGGAGUACGGCCGCAAGGCUG